rnacentral:lncRNA from 1 species
CGCACCGUGCCCGUUGCCGUGCUCCACAGAGGUCGGACGACGCCGCAUAGGCCGGAGAUGACGCCACAGAGGCCAAACGACGCCGCAUAGGGCGAAGACGACGCCUCAGAGGCUGCAGAUCGAGGACUCUGUUGAGAUCGGACGGCGACGAGCACCGUCGAUUCGGCGACCGGGCUUCUGGUCGAUUUCGGCGAUCUGGGCUUUCCAGUCUACGGCGCCGAUUGGAGAAGCAGCAUCCACUCCCGAAGACGACAAAGCAGCUUUGGUCGGCCUACCUCGCCGGAGUCCAACACCUGGUAGGCGAGAAACGCGUCCGG